AGAACGAACGCUGGCGGCAUGCCUAACACAUGCAAGUCGAACGCUCUUGGGGCUUCGGUCUCAGGGGAGUGGCGCACGGGUGAGUAGCGCGUGGGAACCUGCCCUGUUGUGGGGGAUAACCGAGGGAAACUUCGGCUAAUACCGCAUAAGCCGGUUGUCUUGAAGGAGAUGGCCGGGAAAGAUUUAUCGCGACAGGAGGGGCCCGCGUCGGAUUAGCUAGUUGGUGGGUAACGGCCCACCAAGGCGGUGAUCCGUAGCUGGUCUGAGAGGAUGAUCAGCCACACUGGGACUGAGACACGGCCCAGACUCCUACGGGAGGCAGCAGUGGGGGAAUAUUGGACAAUGGGCGCAAGCCUGAUCCAGCAAUGCCGCGUGAGUGAUGAAGGCCUUAGGGUUGUAAAGCUCUUUCGCCCGCGACGAUGAUGACGGUAGCGGGAGAAGAAGCCCCGGCUAACUUCGUGCCAGCAGCCGC
rnacentral:rRNA from 1 species